UGGUAGAUGCACCCUGAUACUUAUCCCCGUCCUCAUGCCGGGGAUUUUUUU
rnacentral:sRNA from 1 species